rnacentral:rRNA from 1 species
GACGAACGCUGGCGGCGUGCCUAACACAUGCAAGUCGAACGCGAAAGUGGAGCAAUCCAUGAGUAGAGUGGCGAACGGGUGAGUAACACGUGGGUGACCUACCUUCGAAUGGGGGAUAACGUCCCGAAAGGGACGCUAAUACCGCAUAACAUCCUGUCCUUGAACGGAUGGAGAUCAAAGCCGGGGAUCGCAAGACCUGGCGUUUGAAGAGGGGCCCGCGUCCGAUUAGCUAGUUGGUGAGGUAAUGGCUCACCAAGGCGACGAUCGGUAACCGGCCUGAGAGGGCGGACGGUCACACUGGGACUGAGACACGGCCCAGACUCCUACGGGAGGCAGCAGUGGGGAAUUGUUCACAAUGGGCGCAAGCCUGAUGACGCAACGCCGCGUGGAGGAUGAAGGUCUUCGGAUUGUAAACUCCUGUUGCUCGGGACGAAAAGCUUUGACCUAACACGUCAAAGUCUGACGGUACCGAGUGAGGAAGCCCCGGCUAACUCUGUGCCAGCCGCCGCAGUAA